AUACGGAGGGUCCAAGCGUUAUCCGGAAUCAUUGGGUUUAAAGGGUCCGCAGGCGGUCAAUUAAGUCAGAGGUGAAAGCCCAUCGCUCAACGAUGGAACUGCCUUUGAUACUGGUUGACUUGAGUUAUACGGAAGUAGAUAGAAUAAGUAGUGUAGCGGUGAAAUGCAUAGAUAUUACUUAGCAUACCGAUUGCGAAGGCAGUCUACUACGUAUAUACUGACGCUGAGGGACGAAAGCGUGGGGAGCGAACAGGAUUAGAAACCCCACGAGUCC
rnacentral:rRNA from 1 species